UACGGAGGAUGCAAGCGUUAUCCGGAAUGAUUGGGCGUAAAGCGUCCGCAGGUGGCAAUGUAAGUCUGCUGUCAAAGCGUCUGGCUCAACCAGAUAAAGGCAGUGGAAACUACAUAGCUAGAGUAAGGUAGGGGUAGAGGGAAUUCCUGGUGUAGCGGUGAAAUGCGUAGAGAUCAGGAAGAACAUCGGUGGCGAAAGCGCUCUGCUGGACUGCAACUGACACUCAGGGACGAAAGCUAGGGGAGCGAAUGGG
rnacentral:rRNA from 1 species